AGAACGAACGCUGGCGGCAUGCCUAACACAUGCAAGUCGAACGAGAUCUUUGGGUUCGCCUGGGGAUUUAGUGGCGCACGGGUGAGUAGCGCGUGGGAACCUGCCCUGUUGUGGGGGAUAACCGAGGGAAACUUCGGCUAAUACCGCAUACGCCGGUUGUCUAGAGAUAGAUGGCCGGGAAAGAUUUAUCGCAGCAGGAGGGGCCCGCGUCGGAUUAGCUAGUUGGUGGGGUAACGGCCUACCAAGGCAGUGAUCCGUAGCUGGUCUGAGAGGAUGAUCAGCCACACUGGGACUGAGACACGGCCCAGACUCCUACGGGAGGCAGCAGUGGGGAAUAUUGGACAAUGGGCGCAAGCCUGAUCCAGCAAUGCCGCGUGAGUGAGGAAGGCCUUAGGGUUGUAAAGCUCUUUCACCCACGACGAUGAUGACGGUAGUGGGAGAAGAAGCCCCGGCUAACUUCGUGCCAGCAGCCGC
rnacentral:rRNA from 1 species